GGAAUUACUUUUUAUGGAUUAAAAAAAAUAUUGCAAAAAAGAUGCCCACCCAGAACAAGACUGCCCUGGGUAGGAAGUUUUAUGGGCAGAAUUUGAUUCCAAACCCCUAAUUCACACUGGUGAUGUUAUUGCAAAAUUGGCCGCACUUUGAAACUCGAUUCCCUUCAAAUACCUUUUCAUUCCGGACUCAUGAUGCAAAUUCCAUUACAUGACAGCACCCUCGACUAAAAGUCCACAGAUUACGGCCGUAAAAUAGCUUCCGAUAAGCACACCGGUUCUCUAGUUUCACACAAGCCUAACAAUGCACCAAUACUCGCAAAGAAACAAGAUACUGGGCAUCCAUGCUUAACUAAAGAGCAAUGCCAACAGACACGACAAAAGAUGAAAGAAGCCAGGAACCAUGUGCAAGAUCUAGCCUUGAGGCAAAUAAAAAACUCUCUGGAAGUUGUCAAGGGCACAUCACAGAGAUCUUGGAGAAUUCCAGCAGAUUUUGGUUAUCAGCAGCAAGGAUAUCAAUUACCGUAAAUAUGAUCAAUAUAUGGCUAUGACACAGAGUGAGGGCAGGGUAAACAUCGGAUUUAAAAUGUACAUACUGCUAAAACAGAUCACAUUGAUAACCAGUAGGCAAUUGAUUGGAAGGAAAGCCCAGCCACAACCGAACUCUCCCCCGAGAAUCCAAUUAUUAUUUACAUUUCAAGUCCCCACAAGUUCAAAGCAGUAAAUGAAACCAAGGAAGACUAAAGUCUAUUAACUCUUCAGCGCUAACAUAAGCCAACAAGGUUCAUUUACUAUUAAGCCACAUACUCCACAUUUGCUACUUUAAACCACCCGGUAAUUACUUCAUUCAAAUGCCCACUGGUUCUCCCGACGAACCUCUUCCUCCUCCUCAGGGGUAAAGUCAUUCUUGAUGUUAAAUGUCUUCCUGAUCUCCUCAGGGGUCUUUCCCUUGAUAAUGUCUGCAACAGUCUGACAUGUCAGGUCCAGCAGGCCCUUGAUGUUCAAAUAGUUGGCAGCUAGAAUGAGAUCGAAGAGUGUGGCCUGGUCUACUUUCACGAACUCAGCGUCCCAGUCCUUGAGCCCAUCAUCAGCGCUGCUGCUGCGAUCAUCAGACUUGGGAGUCUCGACGUGCUUCUUGCAGUACUCGAUCACCUUCGCCAGGAUCUUGCUAGUCACAUUUGGCAGCGGGAUGCCGUUAUCAGCGCAAUCGUCCUCGAUCAUGUGUUUGAUCGUUUGAGACUCAAGCGCCACCGCCUCGUCGACCUCGAAGGGCUCACCGUCGCUGCUCUUCAAGGUGAUCUUCUUCGACGACGACAUCGUUUAGAGCGCAAACAAACGAAAAAAAACAAACAAAAAAUGACAAAAAAAAGGACCCUAGAGGCUUAAGCUGUUCGCUAGGCGUAUUUUCACAAACAAACAACAAAGAGCUUGGCGAACCGAAGAGCCGCAACCCCUUCCAUUUAAU
rnacentral:misc_RNA from 1 species